CACUCCUACGGGAGGCAGCAGUGGGGAAUUUUGGACAAUGGGCGAAAGCCUGAUCCAGCCAUGCCGCGUGCAGGAUGAAGGCCUUCGGGUUGUAAACUGCUUUUGUACGGAACGAAACGGCCUUUUCUAAUAAAGAGGGCUAAUGACGGUACCGUAAGAAUAAGCACCGGCUAACUACGUGCCAGCAGCCGCGGUAAUACGUAGGGUGCAAGCGUUAAUCGGAAUUACUGGGCGUAAAGCGUGCGCAGGCGGUUAUGUAAGACAGUUGUGAAAUCCCCGGGCUCAACCUGGGAACUGCAUCUGUGACUGCAUAGCUAGAGUACGGUAGAGGGGGAUGGAAUUCCGCGUGUAGCAGUGAAAUGCGUAGAUAUGCGGAGGAACACCGAUGGCGAAGGCAAUCCCCUGGACCUGUACUGACGCUCAUGCACGAAAGCGUGGGGAGCAAACAGGAUUAGAUACCCCGGUAGUCCCAU
rnacentral:rRNA from 1 species